rnacentral:ncRNA from 1 species
UUCUAAGUCCAUGCCCUAUUAAGGCGAAACCGUGAAUGGCUCGUUAAAUCAGUUAUGAUUCCUUGCAUCGUACCUUACUUAGAUAACUGUGGCAAUUCUAGAGCUAAUACAUGCAGAAGAGCUCCAAACUUCUGGGGACGAGCGGUUUUAUUAUGCCAAAACCAAUCGGACCUCGUGUCCGUAUUAUGUGUUGACUCUGUAUAAUUUUGAGCUCCCGGCGACGUAUCGCUUAAGUGUCUGCCUUAUCAAUUGUUAGGUUACGAGCCUGCAAUUGUCCUCACGGGUGACGGGGAAUCAGGGCUCGAUUCCUUAGAGGAAGCCUGAGUAUUCAAUUAUGAUG